AUUGAACGCUGGCGGCAGGCCUAACACAUGCAAGUCGAGCGGAUGAAGGGAGCUUGCUCCUGGAUUCAGCGGCGGACGGGUGAGUAAUGCCUAGGAAUCUGCCUGGUAGUGGGGGAUAACGUCCGGAAACGGGCGCUAAUACCGCAUACGUCCUGAGGGAGAAAGUGGGGGAUCUUCGGACCUCACGCUAUCAGAUGAGCCUAGGUCGGAUUAGCUAGUUGGUGGGGUAAAGGCCUACCAAGGCGACGAUCCGUAACUGGUCUGAGAGGAUGAUCAGUCACACUGGAACGGAGACACGGUCCAUACUCCUACGGGAGGCAGCAGUGGGGAAUAUUGGACAAUGGGCGAAAGCCUGAUCCAGCCAUGCCGCGUGUGUGAAGAAGGUCUUCGGAUUGUAAAGCACUUUAAGUUGGGAGAAAGGGCAGUAAGUUAAUACCUUGCUGUUUUGACGUUACCAACAGAAUAAGCACCGGCUAACUUCGUG
rnacentral:rRNA from 1 species